GACUGAAGCAGCAAGUUGUGAAGGUGGACGCCAUCAUCUUGUCUUUGCAGCGCUGAUUCUGAAGAGAACGCCUUCACAUAGGACUCAAAGGAAAUCAGUGCUUAAAGGAAACAACAGUCCAGACUCUGAUUCCAGCUCCGAAGAUGCCCUCAGAUUCAGAUCCAUCAGCAACCCCUGACAACAUGGAGGACUCGUCCCCUGAGCGUUUCCUGUCCCCUCUCGAUGGAGUUCUUCUCUUUAGUCAUUAACUCUUGAAAUCAGCAGCACAACAUGCCA